CCGAGAAUCACUUGACCUAUUUAAUCGGAGGUUUCCUCCUCCUUUUCGAGGCGCCGUUUCGCACGUGGAUCGUAUAAACAGAAUGGCGUUGUUAUUACACAAAAUAAGGCAUGCGACCGUUUCUGACUGUGAAGACAUUGUCCACCUUCUGCAGGAACAAGAGCAGACUGGAAAGAAGAGAAAAGCACCUUCUGUUGAUGAGCUAAAAACCCACUGCUUUGAUGGUGAGAACUCUUUUAAUAUCCUCAUUGCUGAAAUGAAUGAUAAAGAUUCUGCUAAACGUGACAACAACAUUCCAUUGGUUGGCUAUCUCCUCUACAACUAUCACUUCUGUGUAUUUGACUCCAAGAGUUUACGAAUCACUGAUGCCUAUAUCUCUGCAGUCUCAGAACACAAAGAAAACAUCUUGAGAAGUCUUGUUGGCCAUUUAGUCAAGGAACGUGUAAAAGCUGGAGAAAAGAGAACGCCACCUUCUGUGGAUGAUCUAAAAACCCACUGCUUCAAUGGAGAGAACUUAUCUAAUAUCCUCAUUGCUGAAUGGAAUCAUAAAGAUCCUUCAAAAGCAGACGACAGACCAAGCACGGGGCCACUGGUUGGAUAUAUGUUCUACCAAUACCAAUUCUCCUCAGGGGAAGGCAUGACUAUACGAAUAACUGACCUGUACGUGUUACCACUACCAGAAUAUGAGUCCAUCUGUGAAGAUCUCUUUCAUUUCCUGUGCAAGAUGUCUGUUGAUGAGAAUUGUGUCCAAGUGCAAUGGAAAACGAAUGGUAACAAUGACUUGGAAAACUUAGGCAAAUAUUUUAAUGCCAUGAAUGCGAGAGAGGUGGAAAAGUGCCUUGCAAAGAAACUUGAAAAGCAUCAGCUGAAAAAAAUUUGUUCUAGUUGCUAAGAAAUGCAACUUUGUUCCCUUUUUUUCUAAAGGAAAAUCAAAGAAAAAUAAACGAGAACAAAGGCAGGAGAUAAGGGCAGAAGAAAAAAUACACAGGCAAGAUUCUGUAGAUGGAUGGAUAAACAUUUAUAUGUGUGUGUAUUGUUUUAGUUUUUAAUUGUAGCUAUUUAUAGAAUAAAUAUUAAUUGAAGAACUCUAUACCUUUCAAACAGACUACUGUAUUUUCUUGUCUUCGAAAAAAUUGACAGUGACCUCAAAGUUUCAGUAUAGUUGCCUUUGUCAAUCGACAGUAGCUAAGCUGAAACUGAGAUGACUUGAUUUUUUACCUGAGAUUAAGAUAUAACAGCAGAUUCAAAUUAAUAAAGGAAUUUCUCCUUCUUUUCUUCCUACCCAACUCUGGCAACAUACAUCUUCAAUAUGUAACUGUACAAAAUCCCACACAUACUCACUUCCUUGUAUAGAGGUGUGUGGGAACUUUUCUAGUAGUAAUAAAGUGCCAACUAUUAUCUUAAUUCAUAU